AGGCGCGGGGCGGUGCACAGCGCGGGCGCAGGCGCCGAGAGGCGCACGGGAGACCUCAGGCCCAGACUCCACUCCCCAGCUGUGAAAGGACUGCUGGCCAGACCCCCAAGCUAGCCCGCCAGGCCUCCAUAGAGCUGCCCAGCAUGGCUGCGUCCAGUACCAAGAGUUGGUGGGAGACGGGUGAAGUACAGGCUCAGUCUGCGGCCAAGACUCCAUCCUGCAAGGAUAUUGUGGCUGGAGACAUGAGCAAGAAAAGCCUCUGGGAGCAGAAGGGAGGCUCCAAGACCUCAUCAACAAUUAAGCCAGAGCAACCUGGGAGGCUGAGCUGAAGAUGGAAGAGCCUGUCUGCGUGUCUCCCCAGUGACUAGUGAGGCGGCUUUUCCUCCCGAAGCUGGACCUUACAUCAGUGAGAAAUAAACUUCCAUUGUGCUAAGCCA
ensembl:lncRNA LSP1P5 LSP1 pseudogene 5